CUACGGGCGGCUGCAGUGGGGAAUAUUGCACAAUGGACGCAAGCCUGAUGCAGCCAUGCCGCGUGUAUGAAGAAGGCCUUCGGGUUGUAAAGUACUUUCAGCGGGGAGGAAGGGAGUAAAGUUAAUACCUUUGCUCAUUGACGUUACCCGCAGAAGAAGCACCGGCUAGACUCCGUGCCAGCAGCCGCGGUAAUACGGAGGGUGCAAGCGUUAAUCGGAAUUACUGGGCGUAAAGCGUACGCAGGCGGUUUGUUAAGUCAGAUGUGAAAUUCCCGGGCUCAACCUGGGAACUGCAUCUGAUACUGGCAAGCUUGAGUCUCGUAGAGGGGGGUAGAAUUCCAGGUGUAGCGGUGAAAUGCGUAGAGAUCUGGAGGAAUACCGGUGGCGAAGGCGGCCCCCUGGACGAAGACUGACGCUCAGGUGCGAAAGCGUGGGGAGCAAACAGGAUUAGAUACCCCCGUAGUC
rnacentral:rRNA from 1 species